GGUUGACCUCGGAUCAGGUAGGAAUACCCGCUGAACUUAAGCAUAUCAAUAAGGCGGAGGA
rnacentral:rRNA from 2 species